rnacentral:rRNA from 1 species
GAGUAUAAUACCCCAUAGGUAUUGAUUGCUGGAACGCAUCAAUACUAAAAGCUCCGGCGCCUAAGGAUGAGUCUGCGGUUUAUCAGGUUGUAGUGAGUGUAAUGGACUCGCUAGCCGACGACGGGUAUGGGUCGUGAGAGCGAUAGCCCGGAGAUGGAUUCUGAGACAUGAGUCCAGGUUUUAUGGGGCGCAGCAGGCGUGAAAACUUCACAAUGUGGGAAACCACGAUGAGGGAACUCCAAGUGCCUAUGCAAUGCAUAGGCUGUUUAGAUGCUUAAAUAGCAUUUAGAGUAAGGGCUGGGUAAGUUUGGUGUUAGUUGUUGUGGUAAUAUUAGUAGCCCGAGUGGUGGCCGUUUUUAUUGGGCCUAAAGCGUCCGUAGCCGGUUUGGUAAAUCUUUGGGUAAAUCGAUGGGCUUAACUCAUCGAAUUCCGAAGAACUGCCAAACUUGGGACUGGGAGAGGUCGGAGGUACUCUAGGGGUAGGGGUGAAAUUUUGUAAUUUUUAGAGGACCACCAGUGGCGAAGGUGUCCGAUUAGAAUGGGUUUGAUGGUUAGGGAUGAAGCCGUGGGUUGUGAAUUGGAUUAGAUAUCCGGGUAGUUUAUGGUGUAAAUGCUGCAGGCUUGGUGUCGGGGGUCCUACGUGGGCGUCCAGUGCCGUAGAGAAGUUGUUGAGCCUGCCGCCUGGGGAGUACGGUCGCAAGACUGAAACUUAAAGGAAUUGGCGGGGGAGCACAGCAACGGGUGGAGCGUGCGGUUUAAUUGGAUCUAAUGCCGGAAAACUCACCGGGGGCGACUGUUAUAUGUGGGCUAGACUAAUGAUUUUGCCUGAAUUUCAGAGAGGUGGUGCAUGGCCGCCGUCGGUUCGUACCGUAAGGCGUUCUGUUAAGUUAGACAACGAACGAGACCCCUGCCUCUAAUUGCUAUUGAUCUCUCCGGAGGUCAAGGACAUUAGAGGGACCGCUGGCGCUAAGUCAGAGGAAGGGGGGGGCAACGGUAGGUCAGUAUGCCCCGAAUCUCCCGGGCUACACGCGCGCUACAAAGGAUGGGACAAUGGGUCCCAAUUCCGAAAGGAGAAGGUAAUCUCCAAACCCAUUCAUAGUUCGGAUUGAGGGCUGUAAUUUGCCCUCAUGAAGCUGGAAUUUGUAGUAAUCGCGGGUUAAUAUCCCGCGGUGAAUAUGCCCCUGCUCCUUGCACACACCGCCCGUCAAACCAUUUGAGUUGGGUUUGGAUGAGGGCCUCUUUUUUUGGGGAGUUUGAAUCCAUGUU